GGACUACACGGGUAUCUAAUCCUGUUCGCUCCCCACGCUCUCGCGCCUCAGCGUCAGUAUCAUGCCAGGUGGCUGCCUUCGCCAUUGACGUUCCUUCCGAUCUCUACGCAUUUCACCGCUACACCGGAAAUUCCGCCACCCUCUCAUGUACUCUAGUCAUAUAGUUUGCGAUGCACUUCCCAGGUUAAGCCCGGGGCUUUCACAUCACACUCAUAUCACCGCCUACGCGCCCUUUACGCCCAGUAACUCCGAUUAACGCUCGCACCCUCUGUAUUACCGCGGCUGCUGGCAC
rnacentral:rRNA from 1 species